rnacentral:rRNA from 1 species
UCGGUAAUUCCAGCUCCAAUAGCGUAUAUUAAAGUUGUUGCAGUUAGAAUGCUCGUAGUCGGAUUUCGGGGCGGGACGACCGGUCUGCCGAUGGGUACGCACUGGCCGUCGCGUCCUUCCUUCCGGAGACCGCGCCUACUCUUAACUGAGCGGGUGCGGGAGACGGAUCGUUUACUUUGAAAAAAUCAGAGUGUUUCAAGCAGGCAGCUCGCUCUUGCAUGGAUUAGCAUGGGAUAAUGAAAUAGGACUUUGGUGCUAUUUUGUUGGUUUCGAACACCGAAGUAAUGAUUAAAAGGGACAGUCAGGGGCACUCGUAUUCCGCCGAGAGAGGUGAAAUUCUCAGACCAGCGGAAGACGAACCACUGCGAAAGCAUUUGCCAGGGAUGUUUUCACUGAUCAAGAACGAAAGUUAGGGGAUCGAAGAGGAUCAGAUACCCUCGUAGUCUUAACCAUAAACCAUGCCGACUAGGGAUUGAAGGAUGUUCACACUUGACUCCUCCAGCACCUUACGGGAAACUAAAGUCUUUGGGUUCCGG